CCUACGGGGUGCAGCAGUGGGGAAUAUUGGACAAUGGGGGAAACCCUGAUGCAGCGACGCCGCGUGAGUGAAGAAGUAAUUCGUUAUGUAAAGCUCUAUCAGCAGGGAAGAAAAUGACGGUAGUUGAGUAAGAAGACCCGGCUAACUACGUGCCAGCAGCCGCGGUAAUACGUAGGGGGCACGCGUUAUCAGGAUUUACUGGGUGUAUAGGGAGCGUAGACGGCAGGGCAAGUCUGGAGUGAAAGGCGGGGGCUCAACCCCCGGACUGCUCUGGAAACUGUACGGCUGGAGUGCAGGAGAGGUAAGUGGAAUUCCUAGUGUAGCGGUGAAAUGCGUAGAUAUUAGGAGGAACACCAGUGGCGAAGGCGGCUUACUGGACUGUAACUGACGUUGAGGCACGAAAGCGUGGGGAGCAAACAGGAUUAGAUACCCCAGUAGUC
rnacentral:rRNA from 1 species